CCUCCUUUUCUGAGCAGGCCUGGGCAACACAGUGCCUGGCUUUGUUGUGCCCAGAGGUAGAAGAAAGCCCACCUGGUGUUCUGUCUUUGGUGCCAACAGCUUUUCGAUUUGCUAGUUCUACCCUCAAGCGUCAGAACUCUC